AAGGCCUCCCAGGAAGGGAUCAGCUAUAAAAAGGACCCCAGAGAACUUUGCCUUGAAGAAGAGCAGUGCCUGUCCCAGGGUAGAGGAGACACAGGUGCUCCCAGGAUCCUCCUACAGUGCCACCUCUGGAAAUCCCUGUUCUCUGAUCAAACAGAGACCACUGAGGGGGUGAAAAGGAGACAGACAGAGAGCUGCUGCUUUUUACAAUAAACUCUGUAUUGUGCACAUGAAGACCUGGAGAUGUGCCGACUUCCUGUCCCCAAAGCCAAUCUUCCCCGCCAAGGCGACUGAGGAUUUCAAGGGCUCAGAGUUACUGCAGGAAUCCAGGUGAGGAAACUGAGGCUCGUUACUGACUUGCCCAAGAUUCCACAGUGGAAGAGCCUGGACGUGAACUGCGUCUCCAGGUCUCGAACCAUUUCCUGUCCUGGUCCCAGGACCUAGGUGGGGCCGCCGCGCGGUCAGACAGAGCCGGCCCGCCUGGGACCCCUUGGCUGCCCUCGCCCCCCGGCCCCGCCCCCCGCAC
rnacentral:lncRNA from 1 species